rnacentral:lncRNA from 1 species
GGGGAACCAUAAUCAUCACGUGGUAAGUGUGCAAUUAAGGGCAAUCGUAUCCGAGGAUAAUUAGAACCCUAAGGUGAAGUCGUGCGGGCUUGUUCAAUUUUGAGCACAAUCUCAAGCCAAUGAUUUACCCACAUAUUUUAAGAGAAAAUUGGUACAAGAAUUAUUUCAAAGCUUUUCAGGGAACUCUAAAACAAGUUUGGAAUUUUUGGGAUUUUUGUAUUUUUUUAAUAUUU